CCCCCUUUUGGAAAGAAAUUGAUCCUGGCUCAGAUUGAACGCUGGCGGCAGGCCUAACACAUGCAAGUCGAGCGGAAACGAUCCUAGCUUGCUAGGAGGCGUCGAGCGGCGGACGGGUGAGUAAUGCAUAGGAAUCUGCCCGGUAGUGGGGGAUAACUUGAGGAAACUCAAGCUAAUACCGCAUACGCCCCAAGGGGGAAAGCAGGGGAUCUUCGGACCUUGCGCUAUCGGAUGAGCCUAUGUCGGAUUAGCUAGUUGGUGAGGUAAUGGCUCACCAAGGCCGCGAUCCGUAGCUGGUCUGAGAGGAUGAUCAGCCACAUCGGGACUGAGACACGGCCCGAACUCCUACGGGAGGCAGCAGUGGGGAAUAUUGGACAAUGGGCGAAAGCCUGAUCCAGCCAUGCCGCGUGUGUGAAGAAGGCCUUCGGGUUGUAAAGCACUUUCAGCGAGGAAGAACGCUUGUGGGUUAAUACCCCGCAAGAAGGACAUCACUCGCAGAAGAAG
rnacentral:rRNA from 3 species